rnacentral:rRNA from 1 species
AUUGAACGCUGGCGGCAUGCUUUACACAUGCAAGUCGAACGGUAACAGGGAGCUUGCUCCGCUGACGAGUGGCGAACGGGUGAGUAAUGCGUCGGAACGUGCCGAGUAGUGGGGGAUAACGCAGCGAAAGUUGUGCUAAUACCGCAUACGUACUGAGGUAGAAAGUGGGGGACCUUCGGGCCUCACGCUAUUCGAGCGGCCGACGUCUGAUUAGCUAGUAGGUGAGGUAAAGGCUCACCUAGGCGACGAUCAGUGGCGGGUCGGAGAGGAUGAUCCGCCAAACUGGGACUGAGACACGGCCCAGACUCCUACGGGAGGCAGCAGUGGGGAAUUUUGGACAAUGGGCGAAAGCCUGAUCCAGCCAUGCCGCGUGUCUGAAGAAGGCCUUCGGGUUGUAAAGGACUUUUGUCGGGGAGGAAAUCCCCAGCGCUAAUACCGCUGGGGGAUGACAGUACCUGAAGAAUAAGCACCGGCUAACUACGUGCCAGCAGCCGCAGUAACAC